rnacentral:rRNA from 1 species
AACGAACGCUGGCGGCAUGCCUAACACAUGCAAGUCGAACGAGACCUUCGGGUCUAGUGGCGCACGGGUGCGUAACGCGUGGGAACCUGCCCUUAGGGUCGGAAUAACUCCCCGAAAGGGGUGCUAAUACCGGAUAAUGUCUUCGGACCAAAGAUUUAUCGCACUUGGAUGGACCCGCGUUGGAUUAGCUAGUUGGUAGGGUAAAAGCCUCCUAAGGCGACAAUCCAUAGCUGGUCUGUGAGAAUGGUCAGCCACACUUAGACUGAGACGCGGCCCAGACUCCUACGGGAGGCAGGAGUGGGGAAUAGAGGAAAGUGGGCGGAGGCCUGAUGCAGCAAGGCCGCGAGAGUGAUGAAAGCCGUGGAGUUGUAAAGCUCUUUUACCCAGGAUGAUAAUGACAGUACCGGGAGAAUAAGCCCCGGCUAACUCCGUG